UAACCUGCCCAAGAGAUCGGGAUAACACCUGGAAACAGAUGCUAAUACCGGAUAACAACAGAUGAUGCCUAUCAACUGUUUAAAAGAUGGUUCUGCUAUCACUCUUGGAUGGACCUGCGGUGCAUUAGCUAGUUGGUAGGGUAACGGCCUACCAAGGCGAUGAUGCAUAGCCGAGUUGAGAGACUGAUCGGCCACAUUGGGACUGAGACACGGCCCAAACUCCUCGGGAGGCAGCAGCA
rnacentral:rRNA from 1 species